GAGAGAGACGUUUGUUCCGCUCUUCAGGGAUCUCCAUCCGACCAGUUGGUGGCACAUCAGAGCGCAGCUGGGAUGCUCUGCAACUUCAGCAUUGCUGAUUUUGUCUGUUCCCCAGAAGCGGAAUUCACAAAGGAAAAUCUGAUCAGUUUCUUGCAGUGCAAACUGGCCACUAGCCUAAGUUACCCGUUAUUAACCUGGAAGCUGAUUUUCACCAAAUUCUCUGCGGUCCUUGAUGAAGCAUUGGAUUCAUACUCAGAUAUGGUACACCGAAUUC